rnacentral:tRNA from 1 species
GCCUGGGUGGCUCAGUUGGUUAAGUGUCUGACUUCGGCUCAGGUCAUGAUCUCGCGGUCUGUGGGUUCGAGCCCCGCGUCAGGCU